AAGCGGAGACCUCGAGGUGCAGGACUGUCGGGGCGAGGUGGCCGAGGCAGGUCAAAGCUGAAAAGUGGAAUCGGAGCUGUUGUAUUGCCUGGGGUGUCUACUGCAGAUAUUUCAUCAAAUAAGGAUGAUGAAGAAAACUCUAUGCACAAUACAGUUGUGUUGUUUUCUAGCAGUGACAAGUUCACUUUGAAUCAGGUUUGAACUUGACAAUUUACUGUCUUCC
rnacentral:lncRNA from 1 species